rnacentral:rRNA from 1 species
UACGUAGGGGGCAAGCGUUGUCCGGAAUUAUUGGGCGUAAAGCGCAUGUAGGCGGCACGGUAAGUUCGCUGUGAAAGCCCUUGGCUCAACCAAGGAAGAGCAGCGAAAACUGCCGAGCUCGAGUUCUGAAGAGGGUCGCGGAAUGGCCAGUGUAGAGGUGAAAUUCGUAGAUAUUGGCUAGAACACCAGUGGCGAAGGCGGCGACCUGGGAAGAUACUGACGCUGAGAUGCGAAAGCGUGGGGAGCAAACAGG